rnacentral:rRNA from 1 species
UACGUAGGGCGCAAGCGUUGUCCGGAAUUAUUGGGCGUAAAGAGCUCGUAGGCGGCCUGUCGCGUCUGCUGUGAAAUCUCGGGGCUUAACCCCGGGCGUGCAGUGGAUACGGGCUGGCUGGAGGCAGGCAGGGGAGAACGGAAUUCCCGGUGUAGCGGUGAAAUGCGCAGAGAUCGGGAGGAACACCUGUGGCGAAGGCGGCCGUCUGGGCCGACCCUGACGCUGAGGCGCGAAGGCGUGGGAGCGAACGGG